UACGGGGGGGGCAAGCGUUGUUCGGAAUUACUGGGCGUAAAGGGCUCGUAGGCGGCCAACUAAGUCGGAUGUGAAAUCCCCAGGCUUAACCUGGGAAUUGCAUCCGAUACUGGAUGGCUUGAAUCCGGGAGAGGGAUGCGGAAUUCCAGGUGUAGCGGUGAAAUGCGUAGAUAUCUGGAGGAACACCGGUGGUGUAGACGGCUUUCUGGACCGUAACUGACGCUGAGACACGAAAGCGUGGGUAGCAAACAGG
rnacentral:rRNA from 1 species